CCUACGGGGGGCAGCAGUGGGGAAUAUUGGACAAUGGGGGGAACCCUGAUCCAGCCAUGCCGCGUGUGUGAAGAAGGCCCUCGGGUUGUAAAGCACUUUCAGUGAGGAAGAACGCCUGGUGGUUAAUACCCAUCAGGAAAGACAUCACUCACAGAAGAAGCACCGGCUAACUCCGUGCCAGCAGCCGCGGUAAUACGGAGGGUGCGAGCGUUAAUCGGAAUUACUGGGCGUAAAGCGCGCGUAGGUGGCUUGAUAAGCCGGUUGUGAAAGCCCCGGGCUCAACCUGGGAACGGCAUCCGGAACUGUCAAGCUAGAGUGCAGGAGAGGAAGGUAGAAUUCCCGGUGUAGCGGUGAAAUGCGUAGAGGUCGGGAGGAAUACCAGUGGCGAAGGCGGCCUUCUGGACUGACACUGACACUGAGGUGCGAAAGCGUGGGGAGCAAACAGGAUUAGAUACCCUUGUAGUC
rnacentral:rRNA from 1 species